UUCACGAUGGUGUCAGUCGUCAGUAUGGAGACUGGAAGAAAGCUGCUAGUACUGUAGGUUCAAGUUGUCAUUUUAAAACUUUGUUUUUAAUUUAUUUAUACCGCAAAAUAUAAAUUAUAGUCUUAUAUUAUUCGCCAACAAAUAACACAUUAGUUCAGCGAAAAUAUUUGACUUUCGUUUAUCGUCUCUCGGGAAUGUAAACCUCAGUAGAAACUUUCCAAAGUGAGGGGAUGUUCCAGAUGGACAAGGUUGCAGCGCCUCACUGACUCAGAGAAGCCCAAGUCCCAAGGAGAGAGGAUCCUCAAGCCCCAGGGAGACGGACUGCAGGGGCAGGGAGACACCCUGCAGGGAGAUGGGCUCAGAGGAGAGGAGUUCAGCCAUGUCUCACAAGAUCUCUUCCCCCUCACACAGCAACAGCAGCUCCUCCUCCAAACACGACAGCCGACAGGACAGUUGGGAGAUUGUAGAGGGGCUGUGUGUAACCUUGUUGUGUUUACAGGACAGUUGGUAUAUUGUAGAGGGGCUGUGUGUAACCUUGUUGUGUGUCUACAGGACAGUUGGUAGAUUGUAGGGGGGCUGUGUGUAACCUUGUUGUGUGUCUACAGGACAGUUGGUAGAUUGUAGGGGGGCUGUGUGUAACCUUGUUGUGUCUACAGGACAGUUGGG